rnacentral:misc_RNA from 1 species
AAGACUAUAGACCUGCGGAGUACCUGCGGAGGGAUCAUUACCGAGUUAUACAACUCCCAAACCCACUGUGAACCUUACCUCAGUUGCCUCGGCGGGAACGCCCCGGCCGCCUGCCCCCGCGCCGGCGCCGGACCCAGGCGCCCGCCGCAGGGACCCCAAACUCUCUUGCAUUACGCCCAGCGGGCGGAAUUUCUUCUCUGAGUUGCACAAGCAAAAACAAAUGAAUCAAAACUUUCAGCA